GGGCAGGGUGAAGCUGGAAGGCCCAGCUCUAAGCAGGAGUCUGAAAGGCAGGAUUCUGAACCUGCCAACAGCAGCGAAGUGAAAGCCACCCUCAGAGAUUCCUAGCUGGGAACAGAGGAGUGGCAGCAGACAGUCCGAAUGCUACACCAGCCCCUCACAGCCCUCCCAGGCUUCAGAGAAAUGCAGUGCCCAGGAACUUCAAGUCCCCCUGCCCACCCACUGAGUGGAGAGCAACACAGACAAAUAUCCCACAGGAGCCGGCUCUGAACCAGCUGGGGAACAGUCAUAGGCUCAAAACCCAGUGAGUGACCUGAGGCUGCACCAAUACCUGGGCUCGGAAUUACUCUGGAUGCUGUAUCCAGGAAAACCACCCAAACAGACGCCAAGCCACAACUUGCGUCCAAGUUGCGGAGAAGGUGGUUCCUUAGACCGGUGGAACCUGUGGAUGACUUGGAACCUUGGUGUGAACAGCGUCCUUUGCUCAAUCUGGAGGCUUCUUACGUCCCCGGGAUACUAGAUGGACCCUGACACACACACACACACACACACACACACACACACACACACACACACACACACACACAAACACCUGCCCUUUUGAUCAUCCCUGUGCCGAUUAGGGACCUUAUUCCAGACAGCCUGCUUACAUAGACACAAGCAUUAGCGCCUCACACAUUUAUUGAGCUCCUGCCUGUUGUUGCAUGUGCAAAUCAAACACUAUAAAUAUAUGACAUGUGGUGGCUCGAGGCGAGGAAGGAUCGUGGCCACUCACGUGGUUUCUCCAGCCCGCUAUGACUUUUUCAACUAAGUUCGACGCUUAGAACCUGCUGUCCAGGAACUGAGACUUCCGGCGGCCACAUGGGUCACGAAAUUCUCUCUUGGGGUCUUUAGGCAGCUGCUCAGUCUGGGAAGUUGCAUCCGGAGCCCAUUGACUCAGACGCUAGUUAAGGCCGCGUCUUCAGUGGCAUCUCCUUGGCACCCAGCAUCGAAUUCACCACGACCGAUCACUGUUUCUGUAAGACACUAGGCCCUUUGGAUAGCCAUGCAGUAAACUGAAGGUCGCACACCUCCGCCUCAAGAACGUUUCGGUGUUGGAGUCAAUGUAGACCUCUUCCACCUCUUGGGAAAGCAGUUGAAACAACAGUGGGUAAUUUGUGAAGGAGGACACUGGCCGCCUCUCCGACUCCCGGCCCCACAGGACCCCUGGCAGCGGCGCAAAGCCGGCCGGAAGACAGCCGCACCGCCCCUCCCGGUCCAGGCCCAGCCUGCCUGGCGGAGGAUCAAAGAGACCAGGCCUUGCUUCUCAGCGCUCAGAUCCUAUCAGCGCCCUGCCAGCGGGGCUUCUGAGUCCUCCAGCUCCCAGCCGGGAUGCCCGUUUCACCUCCUUCUCAGCGAUGGGGGGCUUGGCCAUUAAUGCUGAGCUUGGCAAUAGAGAUGCGGUGCAGAACCCGCCCUUGGCACCUCUAAAGUCCUUCUUCCGCAGGUGCCAGUUUGCUACUGAUUUUGACCCCAUCUUCUCUAGAUUCGGGGGCAGGGCAGGGGCUCCAAUGGAAAGCCUACAGGAGAAGAAGGGCCCAGGGGCGAGGCCUCCCCCUACGACCUCAGCUCCGAGGUUGUCCCGGCUAACUUUGGGGUGAGCACUUCUCUGAGAAAAUUGCACAGAAAUUGAGAUCAUCCUAAGCCAAAGCGCAGCAGAUCCUCCUGUGUUUAUAAACGACUCCAACUUUGGCAAUGUCGCUUCCAUGAUAGUUGGCAGACCAUGAAGUUUCAACUGACACAGGUCAUUGGGGGUCGAAUUUCUGAAGAAAAGUCAGGGCUGGGGAGGUGUGAUUCUGCCCUCCAGGGUAAUUUUUUUCCCCAGCUUGGUAUUGCCCUUUUAUCAAAGAACAAGGCCUUUCGGCUUUAUUGGUGCAGAAGUAGCCUAUCCUCAAAUGUUAGUGAAUAUAUAUAUAUAUAUAUAUACCUUUAUUUGGCAAGAGAAAAUAUAUUUUUUUUUUCCUGAUUUGUUAGCUUUCCCACCUUUGGAUGGUUUCUUUGGAUGACUUUAUAGAGCUGUGAAAACCCCCCUUCCUGGGAUCCACUGCCCUGGGGCAUCCUGGCUCCAAGCCUCACCCCCUGAGGAUGAGCAGUGAGGGGGAGGCAAGAGGGGAGAAAAGGAGCUUGUGGACAGGGAGGGCGGGGGUGGCAUAGAUGGAGUCUCUGCCUCCGCUUCCACACUGAGCAUAGUGUAAAGGCUCGCUGCGUAGCAGCUGAUGUAAACUCCCACAAGAUGGUAGAACAGGAAGGAGCGCAGGCACAGGAGGUCGAGAGACCCGGAAUGGGCUGAGAGGCCUAGGGGUGGGGAGUGGGAGAGAGGUGGAGGUGAGAUUCAUCUGGUGUGGAAAACCCCCAGGGUUUGGAGAGCUAACCCAGUCUGGGCUACAUAGUGAGAUCCUAUCUGAAGAAAAAUAAAAAUAAAUAAAUAGAUAGAAGCAGCAGCAGAAGCCUAGCCAGCACCAGUUCUGUAACCAUCACCGGAGAGAUGAUGACCUCAUACACUAGGCGAUUACAGCCUGCCAGCAUCCAUUGGAGCUUCACACACAUCACCUAAUUUAAUCGUUACUAAACUCUGAGAUAUGGGGACAAUUGUCCCCAUUUUACUAAUGAGGAAACUGAAGCUCAGAGAGGUUGUUUGAGUCACCCAAGGUGUCACAGCUUCAAAAUGAGGGUGCUGAGCUGAGCUUCCAGCUCCUGGUGGUCAGUCCCCAGACCCAACACCUAACUGCCAUGCUCAUAUCCCAGUCCGACCCCUGAGACGCUGAGAGGCUUCUCCGACCCAUAUCAAGGCAGGGUUUCCCUGUGCGGCCCUGACUCUCCUGGAAGUCAUUUUUCUCUAGACCAUGUUGGCCUCAUCCUUAGAUCUGCCUACCUCUGCUUCCUGAGUGCUGGAAAGGGACUUAUCUGCUGUGUGACAUAUGCAGACAUACUGAGGAACUAGCUAUCAGUAAUAAAAAUUACUAAACC
ensembl:antisense A630014C17Rik RIKEN cDNA A630014C17 gene